rnacentral:rRNA from 1 species
GACGUAGGAGGCGAGCGUUGUCCGGAUUCAUUGGGCGUAAAGAGCACGCAGGCGGUUUGGCAAGUCGGAUGUGAAAACCCGGAGCUCAACUCCGGACCUGCAUCCGAAACUGCCCGACUAGAGGUAGGUAGGGGAGAUCGGAAUUCCUGGUGUAGCGGUGAAAUGCGCAGAUAUCAGGAGGAACACCGGUGGCGAAGGCGGAUCUCUGGAAAAUACCUGACACUGAGGCACGAAAGCUAGGGGAGCAAACAGG